rnacentral:misc_RNA from 1 species
UCGAUCAUGUGUUUGAUCGUUUGAGACUCAAGCGCCACCGCCUCGUCGACCUCGAAGGGCUCACCGUCGCUGCUCUUCAAGGUGAUCUUCUUCGACGACGACAUCGUUUAGAGCGCAAACAAACGAAAAAAAACAAACAAAAAAUGACAAAAAAAAGGACCCUAGAGGCUUAAGCUGUUCGCUAGGCGUAUUUUCACAAACA